UACGGAGGGUGCAAGCGUUAUCCGGAUUCACUGGGUUUAAAGGGUGCGUAGGUGGGUUGGUAAGUCAGUGGUGAAAUCUCCAGGCUUAACUUGGAAACUGCCAUUGAUACUAUCACUCUUGAAUACCGUGGAGGUCAGCGGAAUAUGUCAUGUAGCGGUGAAAUGCUUAGAUAUGACAUAGAACACCAAAUUGCGAAGGCAGCUGGCUACACGAAUAUUGACACUGAUGCACGAAAAGCGUGGGG
rnacentral:rRNA from 1 species